GGGGUAUGGCUCAGUUGGCUAGAGCACCUGCCUUGCAAGCAGGGGGUCGACGGUUCGAGUCCGUCUAUCUCC
rnacentral:tRNA from 1 species